ACAAUAGAGCUGACCCUGGUGUGAGGGUCAGGUGAGCUGGCCAAGGGUAUGCGCAUGGGACAGUUGGCCCUGCCCCUUGCCAGCUGUGAUUCGAGGGCAAGCUAGCUGGGGCAGUACUAGACAGCUCGACAGGGUGGUACUGGUGCAGGAGAGCUGGUGGGCUGACCGACUCAGCUACCAACCAGGCCCAGAUUCAGGGCUUUGAGUCAGCCCACCCCAACAUCUACCCCAUCUAUGAACUGCUGGGUGGUGUGAAAAGCCCAGUCCUACAGAUCCAAAGCUGCAGGAUCUCCAUGACACAGGGCAAUAAUAACAGGGUGACUAGGGGGAGUCUCCAUGAAGAUCUAGUACUGAUGAUGUAGCAGAAGCCAGAUGCCUCCGACCAGAGCAGUGACUCCUUGCAAUGAACACUUGGUAGGACUUACAUCUAAUCAGAAAAGUGAUUGGACACUUCCAUGAUGUUCAUGCCACUGUCACACCAGUGGGCACACCUUGGCAGACCAGUUGUUACUGAAGCACAAUGGGUUUCCAGCUGGUUGACUACCAUGGGUACUGGCCAUCUAGUUCCUGAUUAACCAAAACUCGCCUAUGAUGUAGACCUAAGUCCCCACAUCAGCCCAGGCUCUUCUGGCCUGUAUCCCACCUCCCAGUGCUCAAACUCUUGGGCUCUUCUAGCUGGACACCGAUUCCCCCACCUCUAACUGUCUCAACAAAACUCUCAAUGCUUUCUAUGACAUUGAUGCCUCUACCCACCGAGGCAGCCUGGCAGCUUGAUCUCCCAAUAAACCGUUCUUUCUGCUCA